rnacentral:sRNA from 1 species
CACUGAGCCAUCUCUCCAGCCCCAAGAAGAUCCACUUUCAAUCUGAAUCUUCUGAGGUGGAAAGAUUCACCUUGAAUUCAGAUCCUUUGAGUGGUAUGCAUGGCAACUUCAAUGCACAUAGCACCACGAAUGCUAGCCAGUCAGGAGGAAGAUUCCAUAUAUGCACUGAUGUCCAGAUGUGUCUUACUCACUGGUUUUGAGAUGUCUCACAGAAGGCCAUAAGGUACCUUAACAUUUUUAAGCAUUUAUCAAUUUCAUUUCA